rnacentral:rRNA from 1 species
CGGACGGGUGAGUAACGCGUGAGAAUCUACCAAAAGGUCGGGGACAACCAUUGGAAACGAUGGCUAAUACCGGAUAAGCCUGUGGGUAAAAGAUUAAUUGCCUUUUGAAGAGCUCGCGUCUGAUUAGCUAGUUGGUGAGGUAAAGGCUCACCAAGGCAUCGAUCAGUAGCUGGUCUGAGAGGAUGAUCAGCCACACUGGAACUGAGACACGGUCCAG